UUUCAGAGAUGGUACUUUUCAUCACGAUAUCCGUGUACGUAGGUAGCGUCUCUAACGUCUUUCCAGAGUCGCCAUAGUAUCCGUCGUAAUAACCACUUUCGAUGUUACCCCUCAACAAUUUAAAUCGACUAUAGAUCGCUCCCUCAGUUUUUAAAACUUCGUCGAUAUUCAACAAAAGUUUAUCUCUGCCACGUCCACGUCCUUCACUAAGUAGACGCCAUUGAUCGAUUCCGUCGAUCUCGCCUAGAUCCUUCAAAUCUCCGCCAGCUGCAGAGUAUAAUGUUGGCAACCAAUCCGUUAUGUGUACCAAUUCAUUGGAUACGCGGGCUGCUCUCUGCAGCCUGGACGACCACAAUGCCGCCACUCCUCUCACGCCUCCUUCGUACAACGUGAGUGAACAGCAAGAUGCGAUAACUGGAGAUAAAGAGGCCUAUUAAGUUCGUGAUUCUCGAUGAUGUUGAUCGCUUCACUGGUGAACAUGUCUGUCGCGUAUUCGCGAUUCAUCCCGUAAGCUGGAUCGUCUCCGCGAUGCAUAUCGUAUCCGCUCAUGUUCUGGAAGUGUACAAAUAUGAUAUUUUAUGAAACUUCUACUUGCUUUGCUACUCGCACAUUGCUUUUAGCAUCUUAC
rnacentral:misc_RNA from 1 species